CGCCGAGGUCGCCGCAAAGCCUGUGAGCGCGAGCCAGGGCGGAGCGGCCGUCGGUGAGAUCCUGUGGUAGUAGCAAAUAUUCAAGUGAGAACUUUGAAGGCCGAAGAGGGGAAAGUUCCAUGUGACGGCACUUGCACAUGGGUUAGUCGAUUCCUAAGAGACGGGAAGCCCGUCCGACAGCGCGCCAGCGCGAGCUUCGAAAGGGAAUCGGGUUAACAUUCCUGAACCGGACGUGCGUGACGGCAAUGUUAGGGAGUCCGGAGACGUCGGCGGGGGCCUCGGGAAGAGUUAUCUUUCUGUUUACAGCCUGCCCACCCUGGAAACGGCUCAGCCGGAGGUAGGUCAGCGGCCGAAGGAGCACCGCACGUUCGCGUGGUGUCCGGUGCGCCCCCGGCGGCCCUUUUUGAAAAUCGGAGGACCGAUUGCGACCACGCCCCGGUCGUGACUCAUAACCCCAUCAGUCUCCAAGGUGAACAGCCUCUGGUCGGAUGAACAAUGUAGGCAAGGGAAGUCGCAAAAUGAUCGUAACUUCGGGAAAAGGAUUGGCUCUGAGGGUGGCACGGGGGUCCCAGUCCCGAACCCGUCGCUGUCGGUGGACUGCCGAGCUGCCUCCGCGGCGAGAGCGGUCGCCGCGUGCCGGCCGAGGACGGACUGGGAACGGCUCCCUCGGGGGGCCUUCCCGGGCGUCGACAGCGAUCAGAACUGGUACGGACAAGGGGAAUCCGACUGUUUAUUAAAACAAAGCAUUGCGAUGUCCCUGAGGAUGAUAACAAUGUGAUUUCUCCCAGUGCUCUGAUGUCAAAAAGUGAAGAAAUUCAACCAAGCGCGGUAACGGCGGGGAUAACAUGACUCUCUUAAGGGUACAAAUGCCUCUUCAUGCUAAUUGUACGCGCAAUGAAUGGAUUAACGAGAUUCCCACUUUCCCUGUCUACAUCCAGCUGCAACCACAAGCCAAGGAACUGCAUGGUCUUUUGCAGAAAAAUCAGCGGGGAAAGAAGACCCUGUUAGCUUGACUCUGUCCGAACUUUGUGAAAUGACUUGACAGGUGUAGGAUAAUGGGACCCCUCGGCCAAAAGUGAAAUACCACUACUAUUAACGUUAUUUUACUUACUCCGUGAGUGCGGAGGCGGGGCAUGGCCCCUCUUUUUUGACCCAAGCCCGCCCAGCGGCCGAUCCGAGCGGAGGACAUUGUCAGGGGGGAGUUUGGCUGGGCGGCACAUCUGUUAAAACUAACGCAUGUCUAAGAUGAGCUCGACGAGAACAGAAAUCUCGUGUGGAACAGAAGGGUAAAAGCUCGUUUGAUUCUGAUUUCAGUACGAUACGAACCGUGAAAGCUGGCCUAACGAUCCUUAGACUUCGGAAUUUGAAGCUAGAGUGUCAAAAGUUUACCACACGGAUACUGGCUUGUGGCAGCCAAGCGUUCAUAGCGACGUUGCUUUUUGAUCCUCGAUGUCGGCUUUCCUAUCAUUGGAGCAGAAUUCACAGUUUGGAUUGUUCACCCACCAAUAGGAACGUUGGAGCUGGGAUUAGACCGUCGUGAACAGGUUAGUUUUUACCCUACUAGAUACCGUGUCGCGAUGGUAAUUCAACCUAGUACGAGAGGAACCGUUGAUUCGCACAAUUGGUCUUCGCGCUUGUUGAAAACCAGUGGCGCGAAGCUACCGUCGCUGGAUUAUGAAACUGAACGCCUCUAAGUCAGAUCCCGGGCCAGAAGCGACGCAUGCGCUCCGCCGUCGUUGCCGACCCGCAGUAGGGGCCUGGCCCCAAGGCACGUGUUGU
rnacentral:rRNA from 1 species